AUGCGCUCAAUGCCGGGCGGGUCGCCGCCGGACGCCCGACCCGCACGCACGGGCCACCCGCGGCGACCCGCCCGGCAUUGAGCGCAU
rnacentral:misc_RNA from 1 species